rnacentral:rRNA from 1 species
UACAGAGGUCUCAAGCGUUGUUCGGAUUCAUUGGGCGUAAAGGGUGCGUAGGCGGCGCGGUAAGUCGGGUGUGAAAUCUUGGAGCUUAACUCCGAAACUGCAUUCGAUACUGCCGUGCUUGAGGACUGGGAGAGGAGACGUAGGUAAUUUGACGGUGUAGAGGUGAAAUUCGUAGAUAUCGGGAGGAACACCGGUGGCGAAGGCGGCGACCUGGGUAGAUACUGACGCUGAGGUGGCGAAAAGCGUGGGGAGCAAACAGG